rnacentral:lncRNA from 1 species
GGAGAAAAAAAAAAGAGGGAGAGAAGGCGUCUCUCUCUCUCUCCUCUCGCCGUCCCCAACCUCUCGUCUUCGCUGCCUGCGGAAGGUGGGGAGCCUUCGCUUUUCCGCGUGAAUUUUUUCGGGCGAAUUUUUUUCGGCCUCCGCUCCGGUCAGAUCGGCGCGGGUGAGCUCCGGCCCCUCCCGAUCCGGAUCCGUCCCAUAGGCGCGCGUGUUUUUUUCUCUCGAGCUUUUUGUGUGGUUUUUUUUCCCGCUCUUCUCUUCUGGUUGCCGCGGCUGUCUCGGGUAGAUCUGCGGUUUGGUCCGGUUUGGAGCGCGCCGAGGCGGUGUUGCGUGUGGUAGGUUCCUGGUUUCCUACCGGGCGUUGUCGGUCGGAGCCGGAUUUGGUGCGGGGCUGCUUGAGGCGUUGGGCGAUCGGUGCUGGGGCAUGGGGUGUUCGACCUUACGCGCUCGUGUUCUGGAUUUCACGGAUGGUGUGAGAGAUUGGGGCUUUUUUGGUUGUUCUGGAUCUGGAUGGAUGAAGUUGGCCGUCUGCUUGCUGUGUAGGGGCUUUCUGUAAGAAUUUUAGGAUCGAUGCGCUCGUGCAGGCUGUGACGUGCUCUUGUGAUGGUUCAGGCCGAUCUCCGAGAUGCCUGUAGUGCUGUACUGGUUUCACCUCUGUACUCAGCUUGUUUUGUUUUGUUUUUUUCCGGUAGCUUACCUUGACCCUCUGGGCGUUUAGAAAGUGCAUUUCUGAAAUAUGAUUGAUAUAUUGUUCUGACACUAGUAUUGUUAGUUAUGAUGGUAAGCUAGGCUUACAGGGUAGAAUGUUUUGAAAUUGAUAAUUUGGAAUUACUAAGAGGUUUGCUCAUCGUUAUGGAGUGUGGGUUGUAUCAUUCCUCAUCACUAAACUUUCAGCUAUUGGCCUUCGCUUUGGAAGUAGAUGUUGGCUAUUUUAACUCAUAUAUACUUGACCUGGAGCAUGGAGGUUACUUGAUAUGCAUGUUAAGACUGUUGGCUAUUUUAACUCAUACCUGGAGCAUGGAGGUUACUUUGAUACGCAUGUUAAGGCUUAAGAGUUCAGAAAUUAGAAGUGCUUAUCAUAUCUGGUUGUCUUUAGGGUAAGAGUAUUUAUAAGGGGUUCACAAGAGUUAAUUCGUAUAUUGGGCUGGAGACCUGACAGUACUAAUCCAGACUUCUGAAGCAUUGUUGCCUUCUUGAAAGGAGCAUUAGGUUAUCUGCUACUUAAACUUGCUUGUAUUUGCAUGCUAGCCCAUACUAUCACUGAGCUAUGAAAUAUGUUGCCGCUAAAUGUGAUAUGUUAUUAAGUUCUAAGUUUAUUAGGAGUGAUAAUCGAGCCAAACCAAACCUAAUGAUUGGAUUGCUGCCUAAUGUUGAUUGGACUUUAUGUGGGACAUUUUUGGCUGCCAAAUGAUAUUAUGAUAUAGAAAUCUAGCUUGCAAAUAUUAAGCAUGAGAGCAGGAAGCCCAAUGUUCCAGCUUAGGGGGCUAGCUGAACAAUCAUCCAAGUAUAUGGGAUUGAGGUGUCUUCUUUUGUUUAUCUAGAAUAGUUGGCAUUUUUUCCUAAACCGAAAACUGAAGUUUGAGUCAGCUUUAUGGGGUUCACAAAUGUUCAAUAUCAGGACUGUCAUGGAACACUGUCACGCAAUUCAGUUAGCAGGCUUGAUAUUUGCUGAGUUCUCUGCAACACUUUACUAACAUAAUUUGGACUCUGUUGUUCAUCAUUCGUAUCUCUGCUUCCAAAUACACAAAUAGAUAUGAUUUACUGCAAUCUUUGUUCUAUGUUUUUGUUGACUUCUUUUACCUAAUGUAUGAUGAAACAGGAGUUUGUCAUGGCAUCGAAGCGUAUCCUGAAGGAAUUGAAGGACCUGCAGAGAGAUCCCCCCACAUCAUGCAGUGCAGGUACGAUUACUAGUAAUUAUUGGAACUAUGGAUGACUGCUCCAGAGAUUUACAUAACCCACUGGGUGCAGGCAGACCAUGUCAUCUUGUCUGUACCAUAUUGCCAGUCCUUGCAUGCUCACUUUGUUUUUCCCAAUGCCUUUCCAUUGCUUCUCAUGAACAAAUUUCACUUGUACAAUGUUCAGGUCCUGCCGGUGAGGACAUGUUUCAUUGGCAAGCAACAAUUAUGGGACCGCCUGACAGUCCCUAUGCUGGUGGUGUUUUCUUAGUGAACAUUCAUUUCCCGCCAGAUUACCCCUUCAAACCUCCGAAGGUUAGAACUCAGGAGGUUUAUCUUAUUUACAAAUUCCCCUUUUAUUCACUCUAAGUUAUUGUGUAUUGUGCGCUCUUGCAAGAUGUGUAGUAUUGGGUAGCCUGAAUGUGGUUACCUUUAAUAAGUAUAGGCGUCUUCUGAGUAAAAGUUUGUAAACAAGAAAGGCUUUUUGUUGUUCCUUUUUCUCCUGCUAAUGUCAUCAUCCUGGGGGGAGGGAGAUCAUUGUACAUUAUCCCUUCUGCUAUGUGAUAGCUUCACCUUUCUGUUAGUACUUUGUCCUUGGUCAACUAAUAAUAUGGUUAUAGUUGUUUUAUCUGCUGGCAUAAAAUCAUCUUUUAGUGUUAGCUGGUAAUGCAUUAACUUUUUUUCCUGGAUGAAGUAUCCCUGUUAAUAUAUCCUUUCAGAGUUGUAGUUUAGAACUGUGUUAGUGAUUUCGUACACCUGAGGAAAUAAUAAAUUUCUUACAGCUUCUCUCAAAUUAAAUAUUUCAUGCUAAUAAUUUCAAGAAAAACGGUAUGUUAAGAAUGUCAUGGAUUAUUGUAUGUUUGAUACCUGUCUACAUUUCCUAUUAACAAUCUGCUUUGGCAUCUUCCUUUGAUGGCUGAACUUCACGAGCCAUUAAAUCUUGAGGUUUCUUUUACUUAGAUUUUGUUGUUUUAACUUUGUCCAUGUUUAUUGAAUCUUUGUUGCCCUGUUCAUUUUAGGUGUCUUUCAAGACAAAGGUCUUCCAUCCUAAUAUCAACAGCAAUGGAAGUAUAUGCCUUGACAUUCUUAAAGAGCAGUGGAGCCCUGCUUUGACAAUUUCUAAGGUCAUCCUGAACACUGAUAUUUUUUUUCUAUAUGAGCAUAACUUUUUCUUUUCAUUUUUUCUUUAUGUUUAUAAAAUGAGUAAAUCUAAAUUUCUGAUGAUGCAAGAAUUUUCUACUGAUGGGUAUCGCUUAUUUUGCAUUGAUUAGUUAGCAGAAACAUUCACUGCCUUGUUUGGGGUUCCUUUGCUGUCUGUUCCUGUGCUGUUUUUGUCAUCAUCUGCAUUGUUUGGGGUUGCUAUUGUAGAUGUAAUGCCCCUAGCAAAUUCUGAAAUCUAAUGUUGUUUGCCCUUUUGUUUGAUUUAGUUGGUAAAUAUUUUUCUAUUUAUUAUUUCACAUGCUUUAACCAUAUAUCUGUGAAAUAUCAGGGCCUUUGUCCUUUCGGUGAAUGCUUCUAUGAACCCUGUUUGCUAUUUUACUAACAUACUGUGGUGCUUGGAUCUUCUUGUAUCAUGCUUUAACCAUGUUUUGAGCUGUUUAAAUGGAGACUAACAUUGUACUUCUGUCAACCAUACUUGCAGUACAGCACCUCUAAUAGUGUGCUGAAUAUGAUCAUAGGAGUUUCAUAGGCGCGCCCUUAUAUGCUGGCUGUAUGCCAACAUAUUAAUCUUUUUUUUGGAACCGUCCAUGUGGAAAUGGAAUUUCAUUUUUCAUUCAGUUCCACAAUUCCACAAUUAGGUUUUGUUGGAAAUGACGUGUUAUUGUUAUGUUAUACACCUAAAUGAAAUUAGAGUGUUGUUGCUUAUUUGAGUGUUGCUUUGUUGGAUGUUCCAGGUCUUGCUCUCCAUCUGCUCCCUGCUAACUGACCCCAACCCGGACGAUCCUCUUGUCCCCGAGAUUGCCCACAUGUACAAGACGGACCGGCCGAAGUACGAGUCGACAGCCCGCAGCUGGACGCAGAAAUAUGCGAUGGGCUGACAAAGCACCUCCGCAUGUCAAUCAGCGACGAUUCCCGUGUCGUCUCAAGAAAUUGUUUGUGGGCCAUUAUUUCCUUCGAUUUGUCGCUGGUCGUGUGUAUCCCCGAU